AAUUCGCCCUUAGAGUUUGAUCCUGGCUCAGGAUGAACGCUGGCGGCAGGCCUAACACAUGCAAGUCGAGCGGUAGAGAGAAGCUUGCUUCUCUUGAGAGCGGCGGACGGGUGAGUAAUGCCUAGGAAUCUGCCUAGUGGUGGGGGAUAACGUUCGGAAACGGACGCUAAUACCGCAUACGUCCUACGGGAGAAAGCGGGGGAUCUUCGGACCUCGCGCCAUUAGAUGAGCCUAGGUCGGAUUAGCUAGUUGGUGAGGUAAUGGCUCACCAAGGCGACGAUCCGUAACUGGUCUGAGAGGAUGAUCAGUCACACUGGAACUGAGACACGGUCCAGACUCCUACGGGAGGCAGCAGUGGGGAAUAUUGGACAAUGGGCGAAAGCCUGAUCCAGCCAUGCCGCGUGUGUGAAGAAGGUCUUCGGAUUGUAAAGCACUUUAAGUUGGGAGGAAGGGUAGUAACCUAAUACGUUGCUACUUUGACGUUACCGACAGAAUAAGCACCGGCUAACGUCGUGCCAGCAGCCGCGGUAAUACGAAGGGUGCAAGCGUUAAUCGGAAUUACUGGGCGUAAAGCGCGCGUAGGUGGUUCAGUAAGUUGGAAGUGAAAUCCCCGGGCUCAACCUGGGAACUGCUUUCAAAACUGCUGAGCUAGAGUACGGUAGAGGGUGGUGGAAUUUCCUGUGUAGCGGUGAAAU
rnacentral:rRNA from 1 species